rnacentral:rRNA from 1 species
UACGAAGGGGGCUAGCGUUGCUCGGAAUCACUGGGCGUAAAGGGUGCGUAGGCGGGUCUUUAAGUCAGGGGUGAAAUCCUGGAGCUCAACUCCAGAACUGUCUUUGAUACUGAGGAUCUUGAGUUCGGGAGAGGUGAGUGGAACUGCGAGUGUAGAGGUGAAAUUCGUAGAUAUUCGCAAGAACACCAGUGGCGAAGGCGGCUCACUGGCCCGAUACUGACGCUGAGGUGCGAAAGCGUGGGGAGCAAACAGG